AGUGAACGCUGGCGGUAGGCCUAACACAUGCAAGUCGAACGGCAGCACAGUAAGAGCUUGCUCUUACGGGUGGCGAGUGGCGGACGGGUGAGGAAUACAUCGGAAUCUACUUUUUCGUGGGGGAUAACGUAGGGAAACUUACGCUAAUACCGCAUACGACCUACGGGUGAAAGCAGGGGAUCUUCGGACCUUGCGCGAUUGAAUGAGCCGAUGUCGGAUUAGCUAGUUGGCGGGGUAAAGGCCCACCAAGGCGACGAUCCGUAGCUGGUCUGAGAGGAUGAUCAGCCACACUGGAACUGAGACACGGUCCAGACUCCUACGAGAGGCAGCAGUGGGGAAUAUUGGACAAUGGGCGCAAGCCUGAUCCAGCCAUACCGCGUGGGUGAAGAAGGCCUUCGGGUUGUAAAGCCAUUUUGUUGGGAAAGAAAAGCAGCAGGUUAAUACCCCGCUGUUCUGACGGUACCCAAAGAAUAAGCACCGGCUAACUUCGU
rnacentral:rRNA from 1 species